GGGAAUCUACCGUGCCCUGCGGAAUAGCUCCGGGAAACUGGAAUUAAUACCGCAUACGCCCUACGGGGGAAAGAUUUAUCGGGGUAUGAUGAGCCCGCGUUGGAUUAGCUAGUUGGUGGGGUAAAGGCCUACCAAGGCGACGAUCCAUAGCUGGUCUGAGAGGAUGAUCAGCCGCAUUGGGACUGAGACACGGCCCAAACUCCUACGGGAGGCAGCAGUGGGGAAUAUUGGACAAUGGGCGCGAGCCUGAUCCAGCCAUGCCGCGUGAGUGAUGAAGGCCUUAGGGUUGUAAAGCUCUUUCACCGGAGAAGAUAAUGACGGUAUCCGGAGAAGAAGCCCCGGCUAACUUCGUGCCAGCAGCCGCGGUAAUACGAAGGGGGCUAGCGUUGUUCGGAAUUACUGGGCGUAAAGCGCACGUAGGCGGAUAUUUAAGUCAGGGGUGAAAUCCCAGAGCUCAACUCUGGAACUGCCUUUGAUACUGGGUAUCUUGAGUAUGGAAGAGGUAAGUGGAAUUCCGAGU
rnacentral:rRNA from 1 species